rnacentral:rRNA from 1 species
GACGAACGCUGGCGGCGUGCUUAACACAUGCAAGUCGAACGGAAAGGCCCUGCUUUUGUUGGGUGCUCGAGUGGCGAACGGGUGAGUAACACGUGAGUAACCUUCCCUUGACUUUGGGAUAACUUCAGGAAACUGGGGCUAUUACCCGUUCGGAGCUCCUGCUGCAUGGUGGGGGUUGGAAAGUUUCGGCGGUUGGGGAUGGCCUGGCGGCUUAUCCGCUUGUUGGUGGGGUAGUGGCUUACCAAGGCUUUGACGGGUAGCCUGCCUGAGUGGUUUACCGGCGACAAUGGGACUGAGAGACGGAGCAGAGGGGUACGGGAGGCAGCAGUGGAGAAUAUUGCACAAUGAGGGGAAGCGUGAUGCAGAAACGUUGCGGGCGGGAAGAAGGCCUGCGGGGUGUAAACCGCUUUCGCCUGUGACGAAGCGUGAGUGACGGUAAUGGGUAAAGAAGCACCGGCUAACUACGUG